rnacentral:rRNA from 1 species
GAUGAACGCUGGCGGCGUGCCUAAUACAUGCAAGUCGAGCGAACGGACGAGAAGCUUGCUUCUCUGAUGUUAGCGGCGGACGGGUAAGUAACACGUGGAUAACCUACCUAUAAGACUGGUAUAACUUCGGGAAACCGGAGCUAAUACCGGAUAAUAUUUUGAACCGCAUGGUUCAAAAGUGAAAGACGGUCUUGCUGUCACUUAUAGAUGGAUCCGCGCUGCAUUAGCUAGUUGGUAAGGUAACGGCUUACCAGGGCAACGAUGCAUAGCCGACCUGAGAGGGUGAUCGGCCACACUGGAACUGAGACACGGUCCAGACUCCUACGGGAGGCAGCAGUAGGGAAUCUUCCGCAAUGGGCGAAAGCCUGACGGAGCAACGCCGCGUGAGUGAUGAAGGUCUUCGGAUCGUAAAACUCUGUUAUUAGGGAAGAACAUAUGUGUAAGUAACUGUGCACAUCUUGACGGUACCUAAUCAGAAAGCCACGGCUAACUACGUG